CAGCCGCCGCGGGAAUACGUAGGGUGCGAGCGUUAUCGGAAUUACUGGGCGCAAAGCGUGCGCAGGCGGUUAUAUAAGACAGAUGUGAAAUCCCCGGGCUCAACCUGGGACCUGCAUUUGUGACUGUAUAGCUAGAGUACGGUAGAGGGGGAUGGAAUUCCGCGUGUAGCAGUGAAAUGCGUAGAUAUGCGGAGGAACACCGAUGGCGAAGGCAAUCCCCUGGACCUGUACUGACGCUCAUGCACGAAAGCGUGGGGAGCAAACAGGAUUAGAUACCCCCGUAGUCCCUGUCUCUUAUACA
rnacentral:rRNA from 1 species